UGAUUGUAGAUUUUUCCCUGAUAUAAAAAGAAGAGGCCAGAUACCAAUUUGUGUAAGACAGAUCUACUUGUUCUUUCUUCCUGGAUACUCUGUGAUCCCAGUAUGUUGAUCUUCAAAACCCAAUGGAUGGUCUACAUGUUCCCCAGAGCUUUGCCAUUGCAGACCAGCUGUUUAAGACAUAAAUUUGCUCAGUGUGCUGAUUUCUUGUAACUCGUAUCCCUGCACUUUCAUUUGCACUAUGUACUUCAAACACACGGACCUUCUGGGAGCGUGUAGUCUGUGAUCCAGGGAGGGGAUAUAUACUUAGCACCUCUUGAACAGCCC
rnacentral:lncRNA from 1 species